rnacentral:rRNA from 1 species
UUAGUGGCAUGUCCUGGACCCGAAGCGGGGUGAUCUACCCAUGGCCAGUGUGAAGCAGCUGUAAGAGGUUGUGGAGGCGCGAACCCACUUAGGUUGAAAACUGAGGGGAUGAGUUGUGGGUAGGGGUGAAAGGCCAAUCAAACUCCGUGAUAGCUGGUUCUCCCCGAAAUGCAUUUAGGUGCAGCGUUGUAGUAACUUGCCGGAGGUAGAGCUACUGGUUGGUUGAGCGGGACUAUCAUCUUAGCAAUGUCAGCCAAACUCCGAAUGCCGGUUUAAGUGUUCUAUGGCAGUGAGACUGUGGGGGAUAAGCUUCAUAGUCGAGAGGGAAACAGCCCAGAUCGCCGGUUAAGGCCCCUAAGGGUGUACUAAGUGGAAAAGGAUGUGGGAUCGCGAAGACAGCCAGGAGGUUGGCUUAGAAGCAGCCAUCCUUGAAAGAGUGCGUAAUAGCUCACUGGUCGAGUGGUUCUGCGCCGACAAUUCAGUGGGGCUCAAGUACACCGCCGAAGCCGCGGCACACUAUUUUUGUGUGGGUAGGGGAGCGUCGUGUAUGGGGUGAAGCAAUACUGUAAGGGGUUGUGGACUGUACACGAGUGAGAAUGCAGGCAUGAGUAACGAGUGAUAAGUGAGAAUCUUAUCCGCCGGAUGACUAAGGGUUCCUGGGUCAAGUUCGUCUUCCCAGGGUGAGUCGGGUCCUAAGGCGAGGCCGACAGGCGUAGUCGAUGGUUAACGGGUUGAUAUUCCCGUACCCGUGUAUAUGCGCCCAAGGGUGAAUCGGUGAUACUAACCACCCUGACCGCACCAUAUGAUGAUCCCUUCGGGGGUUGAUCGGUGGUGUGUGAUGCGUGGGGCCUGAACCGUAGUAGCCCAGUGAUGGGGUGACGCAGUGAGGUAGCCUAGCCACUUAUUGGAUUGUGGUGUAAGCGUGUGGCACGACGAUGAGUGAAAUGCUUGUUGUCACAAAGUGUGAGGCGUGAUGCGUAGCCCCUUAAGGGGUGAUGUAGGUGAUCCUGUACUGCCGAGAAAAGCCUCUAGCGAGUGUGUACACGGCCCGUACCCGAAACCGACACAGGUAGUCAGGUAGAGAAUACUAAGGCGGUCGGGUGAACUGUGGUUAAGGAACUCGGCAAA